AGAAGGCCCGGGUCGGGUUCAGAUCUCCCGGGUUUCCCGGAAACGGAUUUCCGGGUGCCGCUCCUGGGCCAGCUGC
rnacentral:tRNA from 1 species